rnacentral:snRNA from 1 species
AUAUGUUAUAAUAAAAAAAAAAUUAAAAAAAAUCUGUUCUUAUCAGUUUAAUAUCUGAUAUGUCCUCGAGGACAACAUAUUAAAGUGAUUUUUAGAAAUGGGAGCCGAAAAAGGGGCUUGCUCCGUUCGCUCCACGCAUCGACCCGGCAUUGCAGUGCCGCCAGGUACGGUGCAACCUUC